UGUUAUGUUAGUAUUUUUUUGUGAUAAAUGCAGUUAUAUUAUAAAUAUUUAUAGUUGUUUGAUAAUUGAAGGCAUCCUGUGCAUGAUGAUACCUUGUCCUGGUGAUACCUUGCCUGCUUUUCAAUAAUAUAUAUGUUUCUCAUUAAUUAUUAUAUUCUUUUUGUGUUUUUUUAUCGUUUAUAUUAAUUUAUGUAUUCAUUUACUUAUUUUUUUGAAUGAUGGCAUUGAGAUCUGCUUAUUAAUGGGUAUUUUUCAACAUAACUGAUUGACUGAAACAUAUCGUAGUAUUUAAAGAGAUAAUUUCAAGUGGAGCCUUUUGCGUGGGGACUGACUGACUAGCCAAUGGUAGUUAUGAGGGGGGGAUAAAGAGAGGGGGAGGGGGAGAGGGGGGGAGAGAAAGACAAAGAGACGGUGGUGGGCGUCCCUAACGGAUUCCUCCAUUUCAUUUCAAACCGGCGAGCGGGCAGGUGUGGAGUGUUGCUGCAGGUGUGGACUGCCGGCGACCUGCGUGACCAAAGGAAGGUUUGGAACAAAACAAGAAGCAAGAACAAUUAAGAUGAACACUAGCCACACCACAGAACUGUUACUGCUGGCACCACCACCAUCACCACCACCACCACCACCACCACCACCACCACCCUGCCAAGUGGACACCCCAGUGUGAGCGGAGCCAUCAACACCAGCCUGAGGACUAAUUGCUUAUGUACCAGAGGAGUGUGACAGUCUACCAAUACCUUGGAAGGAAGGUGAUGGUGAGGAACAGUGAAGAAAGAUGACGGAGCAGAAACAGGCCCACACCAUCCUGGAAUGUGCUGCAAAUAAUCUUGGUUACCGGCAAAGUAAAGAGAUAAAGAGAUAGAUAGAUACAGAGAUAGAUAAUUAUUAGUAAGAGUGAGAUUAAGAUAGAUAGAUAAUUAUUAUUAAGAGUGUUAGUUAGAUAGAUAUAUACAGAGAUAGAUAAUUAUUAGUAAGAGCGAGAUUAAGAGUGAGAUUAAGAUAGAUAAUUAUUAUUAAGAGUGCUAGAUUAUUAUAUUCUUAUUAUAUUAUUAUUUUAUUUGUGUGUGUGGUGUGUGUGUGUGUGUUCUCUUUUCAGAAGUGUGUUUGGAAUGCAAGAAAUAUACAAGACCACAGAAGAUUCUAUAGUGGUGGUGGUGGUAGUAGUAGUAGUAAUAGUAGUAGUAGUAGUAGUAGUAGUACUUUAUCAAUAUACAGGGCAUUAUAGAAACAAUGAAUGUAGUUAGGGUGGUGGUGGUGGUGGUGGUGGUAAUAAUUUUCUACUACUGGCUCUAACAAAUAUACUAACAUAAUAACAAAUAUACUAACAUAAAUAUUUAUUAUUUUUCUUUUACAGCUUAUUUGAUUUAUUUAAUUAUUUUAUUGGUGGGAGGGAAAAUAAUUUUUUUUGCAAAUUUAUUGAUAAAUUACAUGUUUUAUUUAUAUAUUAAGUUUAUUGAUGUUAUAUUUCGCGGUUUUGUUAAUUUUUUUUUUUUUUUUUUUUUUUUGGGUGGCUUAAUACUGCUUUGUUUUGCUUGGUAAGGGUUCUCACAGGUGUCCGCAAGAGAGAAGAGGAACAUUUCACCCUCAGUCAAGAAUGAAGACUUCUACAUAUAUUUUUUUUUUGGUGUUUGGCUUAAUACUGCUUUGUUUUGUUUGGUAAUGGUUCCCACAGGUGUCCACAAGAGAGAAGAGGAACAUUUCACCCUCAGCCAAGAGUGAAGACUUCUGCUUCAGUCAUCUAGGUCUCUUUAAUGUAAAUGUAUCUAUGAAGAAACAGCAGACAAUGAAAUAAAUGUGUUGUUUGUGUUUUAACUGUUGUUGUUGUAAUGCUUCCUCUGACGCGGGAGGUUCGCCCUCUGGCAGUUAUUGUUGCCAGGGUUUUUUUUUUGGUGUGAAUUGUUGCCUUGAUGGUCAUUUUGUUUGCAUGGUGGUGUUGUCGGUGAGGCCAUCUGGUCAGGAUAGGCAAGGUUGUCUUCUGUUACUCAGACUGAUGGCAGCC